rnacentral:rRNA from 1 species
AAAGGCCGCAGUAUUUUGACUGUGCUAAGGUAGCAUAAUAAUUAGGUUUUUAAUUGAAAUCUUGUAUGAAUGGUUUAAUGAAAUAAAUUCUUUAUUAUUUUAAAUAUUGAAUUUUAUAUUUUAGUAAAAAAGCUAAAAUAAUAUAAAGGGACGAGAAGACCCUAUAGAAUUUUAUAUAAAAUUUUAUUAUUAUUUAAAUUUAUUAUAUAUUAAUAAAUUAAUAAUUUAUAUUUUAUUGGGGCGAUAAUAAAAUUUUUUUAACUUUUAUAAUGUUAUUCAAUUAUUUUUGUAUAGUUGAUCCAUUUUUUAUGAUUAAAAAAUUAAAUUACCUUAGGGAUAACAGCAUAAUAUUAUUAAAGAGUUCUUAUUUUUAAUAUUGUUUAUGACCUCGAUGUUGGAUUAAAUAAAAUUUUAAUAAGUAGAUUUAUUAAAAAUAAGUCUGUUCGACUUUUAAUUAUUUACAUGAUCUGAGUUCAAACCGGUGUGAGCCAGGUCGGUUUCUAUCU